UACGUAGGGUGCGAGCGUUGUCCGGAAUUAUUGGGCGUAAAGAGCUUGUAGGCAGUUUGUCGCGUCUGCUGUGAAAAUCCGGGGCUCAACCCAGGACUUGCAGUGGGUACGGGCAGACUAGAGUGUGGUAGGGGAGACUGGAAUUCCUGGUGUAGCGGUGAAAUGCGCAGAUAUCAGGAGGAACACCGAUGGCGAAGGCAGGUCUCUGGGCCACUACUGACGCUGAGAAGCGAAAGCAUGGGGAGCGAACAGG
rnacentral:rRNA from 1 species